UAAUGCCAGAAACCAACUGAGAGCCAAAGUGUGCUGUAACUGAUCGUAUUUUACACCAACAUCUGGGCAUGUGAUGAUUUCAUCCAAAUUUUCAUUCCAGUCUUAAUUUUCUAUUUCUUCUCUACAUUCCUUUCGUUAAAUUCUGAUUAUCCUUGCGAUUCGCUUCUAUUCUCAAGCAAUUGAUCAUCUAUUGGUGCUAUUGGUCCCGAAUUUACCUUUCUUUGAUAGGUUACGCCAGAAGAGAAUGCAAUGGUGGUCUGCAAAUGCCGCAAAGCGACUAAAUUGUACUGUUUCGUGCACAAAACUCCUGUUUGUGGAGAAUGCAUAUGCUUUCCGGAACACCGAAUCUAUGUGGAUUUUUCACAUGGGAUAUGCUGAAUGAUAAGACGUGAUGCAUCCAAUAUAGGAGAAAGCAAUUUUGACAUACAAGAGGCGCAUGAAAGGAAAAGCCCAAGCCGUUGAGAAUUCUGUUGAAGGGAAUUAAGAAGCUGUCCACAUGUGCACAAAAGGGAAUCAAAUCAGUUAUAAAGUUUUUGGUAGUGGGGACCAGUAUAUGCAUUGUAUUUUGCCUUUUAGUGAGCAUCUAGAAAUAUUCUAGAAUGACCUAGCCUUGGUUGUUAGGCUCUAGUAAAGCUCUAUAAAUAAUGAUGGUGAAUACAUUGUAAAG